rnacentral:rRNA from 1 species
GAUGAACGCUGGCGGCGUGCUUAACACAUGCAAGUCGAACGGUGAAGGCGGAGCUUGCUCUGCUGGAUCAGUGGCGAACGGGUGAGUAACACGUGAGCAAUCUGCCCCUGACUCUGGGAUAAGCGCUGGAAACGGCGUCUAAUACUGGAUACGAGCUGCGAAGGCAUCUUCAGCAGCUGGAAAGAACUUCGGUCAGGGAUGAGCUCGCGGCCUAUCAGCUUGUUGGUGAGGUAACGGCUCACCAAGGCGUCGACGGGUAGCCGGCCUGAGAGGGUGACCGGCCACACUGGGCCUGAGACACGGCCCAGACUCCUACGGGAGGCAGCAGUGGGGAAUAUUGCACAAUGGGCGAAAGCCUGAUGCAGCAACGCCGCGUGAGGGACGACGGCCUUCGGGUUGUAAACCUCUUUUAGCAGGGAAGAAGCGAAAGUGACGGUACCUGCAGAAAAAGCGCCGGCUAACUACGUG